rnacentral:lncRNA from 1 species
GCCGGCCCCCUCCCUCCCGCCGCCCCGCCCCUCCGCUGGCGCGGAGCCGGGCUCGCUCCGGCCCCGGCCCCGUCCCCCGGCCCGCGCUCGGGGGGUCGCCCCCGAGAAGAAGCGCUUCCCCCGCUCCUCUGACCGGUCGGGCAUUUGGACGCGCUUGGGCCAUCGGGUUUCCACGGCGGAGAGGGAAGGGGCGGGGGGGAGGCGCCGGUCCUGCCGGGGUCCCGUCCCCCCCCCCCCCUCCCCAUUCGUCUGCACCGAGGGGGCGGGGGGCGCACGGGGAAGGGGCGCUCUCAUCCAUUCGACGGUAUUUACCGAGCGCUUACUAGGCGCUCGGAAUGGACCAUUCGGCAACGGAGAGAGACCGUCCCUUAGCCGGUCUCUCUUAGAGAAGCAGCGCGGCUCAGUGGAAAGAGCACGGGCUUCGGAGUCAGGGCUCAUGAGUUCGAAUCCCCGCUCUGCCACUUGUCGGCUGGGUGACCGUGGGCGAGUCACUUCGCUUCCUCUGUAAAAUGGGGAUGAAGACUGGGAGCCCCACGGGGGACGACCCGAUUCCCCUAUGUCUACCCCAGCGCUUAGAACAGUGCUCGGCACCUAGUAAGCGCUUAACGAAUACCAACGUUGUUAGCCGGGGACGGGCUCGCCGUCCAAACGGGGGAGACGGACAACGAAACGAGACCGCGUCGUCAAGAUAAAUAGAAUGGAGGAGAGGUACGCCCCGUUAACAAAAUGUACGGGGCAAUAAAUAAUACAGACAGAUGAGCGCGGUGCCGAGGGGGAACGGGGAGCGGGGGGGGGCUUUCCCGAUCCGGGAUGCCCUGCUCGGGCAAGGGCCAGCCGGGUCAUCCUCGCCGAGGGGACCGGGGGAACCCAGGCGAUCGAUAAGGCGGCGGGGGCGGGAGGGGACACACACCGAACGGUCGGAUCCGCUUCCCAACGGCAGUUGGCAGGGGCGGCCCCGGGUUGCCAGGACAAGCAAUCUUCACGCACGGACUCGCUUGGCUCGCCUCCGAAACUCCACGCUCCCCACGGAACUCCACGAGGCACGUGGCCUCGUCUUUAACAGACUCCAGGCUCGCCCCCGCCCGCCCCAACGGUCUCGGGGUGUGGUCCCAGGAGGGAAAUGA